rnacentral:rRNA from 1 species
UACGUAGGGCGCAAGCGUUAUCCGGAAUUAUUGGCGUAAAGAGCUCGUAGGCGGUCUGUCGCGUCGGCUGUGAAAACCCGAGCUCAACUCCGGCCUGCAGUCGAUACGGCAAACUGGAGUGUUGCAGGGAGACUGAAUUCCUGGUGUAGCGGUGAAAUGCGCAGAUAUCAGGAGGAACACCGGUGGCGAAGGCGGGUCUCUGGGCAACAACGUGACGCUGAGACGCGAAGCGUGGGGAGCGAACAGG